CUGGUAGUCCACGCCCUAAACGAUGUCAACUAGCUGUUGGGGCCUUCGGGCCUUGGUAGCGCAGCUAACGCGUGAAGUUGACCGCCUGGGGAGUACGGUCGCAAGAUUAAAACUCAAAGGAAUUGACGGGGACCCGCACAAGCGGUGGAUGAUGUGGAUUAAUUCGAUGCAACGCGAAAAACCUUACCUACCCUUGACAUGUCUGGAAUUCCGAAGAGAUUUGGAAGUGCUCGCAAGAGAACCGGAACACAGGUGCUGCAUGGCUGUCGUCAGCUCGUGUCGUGAGAUGUUGGGUUAAGUCCCGCAACGAGCGCAACCCUUGUCAUUAGUUGCUACGAAAGGGCACUCUAAUGAGACUGCCGGUGACAAACCGGAGGAAGGUGGGGAUGACGUCAAGUCCUCAUGGCCCUUAUGGGUAGGGCUUCACACGUCAUACAAUGGUCGGGACAGAGGGUCGCCAACCCGCGAGGGGGAGCCAAUCCCAGAAACCCGAUCGUAGUCCGGAUCGCAGUCUGCAACUCGACUGCGUGAAGUCGGAAUCGCUAGUAAUCGCGGAUCAGCAUGUCGCGGUGAAUACGUUCCCGGGUCUUGUACACACCGCCCGUCACACCAUGGGAGUGGGUUUUACCAGAAGUAGUUAGCCUAACCGUAA
rnacentral:rRNA from 1 species